UACAGAGGGUGCUAGCGUUGUUCGGAAUCAUUGGGCGUAAAGGGCGUGUAGGCGGUUUGUUAAGUCAUGUGUGAAAUCCCUCGGCUCAACCGGGGAACGACGCAUGAAACUGGCAAGCUAGAGUACCAAAGAGGGGGGUGGAAUUCCCGGUGUAGCGGUGAAAUGCGCAGAUAUCAGGAAGAACACCAAGGGCGAAGGCAGCUCUGUGGGACGGUACUGACGCUGAGACGCGAAAGCGUGGGGAGCGAACAGG
rnacentral:rRNA from 1 species